rnacentral:rRNA from 1 species
GAGUUUGAUCCUGGCUCAGGAUGAACGCUGGCGGCGUGCCUAAUACAUGCAAGUCGAACGAGUUCUGAUUAUUGAAAGGUGCUUGCAUCUUGAUUUAAUUUUGAACGAGUGGCGGACGGGUGAGUAACACGUGGGUAACCUGCCCUUAAGUGGGGGAUAACAUUUGGAAACAGAUGCUAAUACCGCAUAAAUCCAAAAACCGCAUGGUUCUUGGCUGAAAGAUGGCGUAAGCUAUCGCUUUUGGAUGGACCCGCGGCGUAUUAGCUAGUUGGUGAGGUAACGGCUCACCAAGGCAAUGAUACGUAGCCGAACUGAGAGGUUGAUCGGCCACAUUGGGACUGAGACACGGCCCAAACUCCUACGGGAGGCAGCAGUAGGGAAUCUUCCACAAUGGACGCAAGUCUGAUGGAGCAACGCCGCGUGAGUGAAGAAGGCUUUCGGGUCGUAAAACUCUGUUGUUGGAGAAGAAUGGUCGGCAGAGUAACUGUUGUCGGCGUGACGGUAUCCAACCAGAAAGCCACGGCUAACUACGUGCCGGCAGCCGCGGUAAUACGUAGGUGGCAAGCGUUAUCCGGAUUUAUUGGGCGUAAAGCGAGCGCAGGCGGUUUUUUAAGUCUGAUGUGAAAGCCCUCGGCUUAACCGAGGAAGCGCAUCGGAAACUGGGAAACUUGAGUGCAGAAGAGGACAGUGGAACUCCAUGUGUAGCGGUGAAAUGCGUAGAUAUAUGGAAGAACACCAGUGGCGAAAGCGGCUGUCUGGUCUGUAACUGACGCUGAGGCUCGAAAGCAUGGGUAGCGAACAGGAUUAGAUACCCUGGUAGUCC